CACGCCGUAAACGAUGUCUACUUGGAGGUUGUGCCCUUGAGGCGUGGCUUCCGGAGCUAACGCGUUAAGUAGACCGCCUGGGGAGUACGGCCGCAAGGUUAAAACUCAAAUGAAUUGACGGGGGCCCGCACAAGCGGUGGAGCAUGUGGUUUAAUUCGAUGCAACGCGAAGAACCUUACCUGGUCUUGACAUCCACAGAAGAAUCCAGAGAUGGAUUUGUGCCUUCGGGAACUGUGAGACAGGUGCUGCAUGGCUGUCGUCAGCUCGUGUUGUGAAAUGUUGGGUUAAGUCCCGCAACGAGCGCAACCCUUAUCCUUUGUUGCCAGCGGUUAGGCCGGGAACUCAAAGGAGACUGCCAGUGAUAAACUGGAGGAAGGUGGGGAUGACGUCAAGUCAUCAUGGCCCUUACGACCAGGGCUACACACGUGCUACAAUGGCGCAUACAAAGAGAAGCGACCUCGCGAGAGCAAGCGGACCUCAUAAAGUGCGUCGUAGUCCGGAUUGGAGUCUGCAACUCGACUCCAUGAAGUCGGAAUCGCUAGUAAUCGUGGAUCAGAAUGCCACGGUGAAUACGUUCCCGGGCCUUGUACACACCGCCCGUCACACCAUGGGAGUGGGUUGCAAAAGAAGUAGGUAGCUUAACCUUCGGGAGGGCGCUUACCACUUUGUGAUUCAUGACUGGGGUGAAGUCGUAACAAGGUAACCGUAGGGGAACCUGCGGUUGGA
rnacentral:rRNA from 2 species